ACAACUCAUUGGCCCAUAAUUUUUACAGGUGCAUUGAUAGGUCUUGGGCAGUUGAUGACCCCCAAUAGAUUUUGGGGUUAUUAGGACAAAGUGCAGGGUCACAUUGGCCUUGUGUGUCAAAACAGUUUUCAUCCAAUUACUCUGCAACCUUAAAACUUUAUAGGAGCAUUGGCCAAUAGAUAACCCCUUUUGCUUUCACACUGGCAAGGUCACAUUUACUUUGUAUGCUGAGCAACAUGGCAUGCAAGUUUUGGCAUGCUGAGAGAUGGGCCUGCAUUUUUUACAAGCAAUUUGGUUAAUAUGCUAUUUCAUUUAAACAUUCACAAGAUUACCACAUAAAGGUAAUUUGCCUUUUCAAAGUUUUUGAGCAUUAAUAAUAAAUAAAUAGAAUGAAAUAAUUUGUGUUCAAUAACUUAAAUGAAAAAAUAAAUAAAACAGAACUCUGCAAAACAAUCAUUUAUUUAUUUAAAAAACAAAAAUAUAUUAAGUUAUAUUUUAAUAGUCCUGAAAUGACAUUAAUUGCAUUGAUUUUAUUCAUUUAGAAAGAGGGUGUAAUGUCGCAUAAUGUCCAAAUUAAUGAAAUGUUCUUUUUUUGUUAUGGCAACAUUUAAAUUUGUCAUAAAAUAAUUUGAUGAUACUUGCAUACAACAUUAUCUAAGUGUGAAAUGAAAUCAUAUAUACUUUUGUUGUGUUAAAAUACCAUGACUUUGUACUUUCAGGUGAAAUAGAGUUGUCAUUAGCACUCGGAUGGUGGGUAAAAGUUCCGUUUUUGAAUAUGGUGUCCGAAGAUCUGAAGAUGAAAAUAAAGAAAUAUUUCAAGGAAGGCCACUCUUACAAAAUAAUCCAUUAUCUCUUGCUAAAGAAUAAUGGAUACAAUAUCAGGUGAGUUAUUGCAACUUUACAUAUGAAAUGGUUAUUUAGAGUAUUAUAAAACCUACUUUAAUUUAAUUGACAAAUAUAGUCCCUCUUCUAACACUGUCAUGUCUUUUUAGUUACAGCUACUUGAAGAGGAAAGUUAUACCGUCUCUUGGACUGAGGAGAAGAAAGUUGAUAAUAGAAGAUGUGAAUGAUGUUGUUAGAUAUGCAACGAUGGAAAUCGAAAAUGGCUUUGGUGGUGCAGAGCAGCUUAGACAAACUUUGUUGCAGAAAUAUAAUGUCUUAGUACCAAGGUUUGU